GCCCUGGUGGCACAGAUGGUUAAGCACUUGGCUGCUAACCAGAAGGUUGGUGGUUCGAAUCCACCCAGCGGCU
rnacentral:tRNA from 1 species